CCUACGGGAGGCUGCAGUGGGGAAUAUUGGACAAUGGGGGGAACCCUGAUCCAGCGACGCCGCGUGAGUGAAGAAGUAUUUCGGUAUGUAAAGCUCUAUCAGCAGGGAAGAAAAUGACGGUACCUGACUAAGAAGCCCCGGCUAACUACGUGCCAGCAGCCGCGGUAAUACGUAGGGGGCAAGCGUUAUCCGGAUUUACUGGGUGUAAAGGGAGCGUAGACGGUGCAGCAAGUCUGAUGUGAAAGGUCGGGGCCCAACCCCGGGACUGCAUUGGAAACUGGCAAACUGGAGUGUGUGAGAGGAUAGUGGAAUUCCAGGUGUAGGAGUGAAAUCCGUAGAUAUCUGGAGGAACAUCAGUGGCGAAGGCGACUAUCUGGCACAUAACUGACGCUGAGGAGCGAAAGCGUGGGUAGCAAACAGGAUUAGAUACCCCGGUAGUC
rnacentral:rRNA from 1 species